AGGAAUUUUCGGCAAUGGAGGAAACUCUGACCGAGCAACGCCGCGUGAACGAUGAAGUAUUUAGGUACGUAAAGUUCUUUUAUUAAAGAAGAAAAAAUGAUGGAAAAAUCAUUCUGACGGUAUUUAAUGAAUAAGCCCCGGCUAACUAUGUGCCAGCAGCUGCGGUAAUACAUGGGGGGCAAGCGUUAUCCGGAUUUAUUGGGCGUAAAGGGUGCGUAGGCGGUUAAAUAAGUCUAUGGGAUAAGUUCAACGCUUAACGUUGUGAUGCUAUAGAAACUGUUUGACUAGAGUUGGAUAGAGGCAAGUGGAAUUCCAUGUGUAGCGGUAAAAUGCGUAAAUAUAUGGAGGAACACCAGUAGCGAAGGCGGCUUGCUGGGUCUUAACUGACGCUGAGGCACGAAAGCGUGGGGAGCAAACAG
rnacentral:rRNA from 1 species